AUGAACGCUAGCGGCAGGCUUAACACAUGGCAAGUUGAGGGGCAGCAUGAGACGGAGAUUCGUCGAAGUCUUGAUGGCGACCGGCGCAAGGGUGCGUAACGCGUGAGCUAACUUGCCCGUUUCUGGGGAAUAACCGGUGGAAACGCCGACUAAUACCCCAUAGUAUUGAGUUUAGGCAUCUUUACUCAAUUAAAGAAUUUCGGAAACGGAUAGGCUCGCGUGACAUUAGCUGGAUGGCGGGGUAACGGCCCACCAUGGCAACGAUGUCUAGGGGUUCUGAGAGGAAGGUCCCCCACACUGGAACUGAGACACGGCCCAGACUCCUACGGGAGACAGCAGUGAGGAAUAUUGGUCAAUGGACGCAAGUCUGAACCAGCCAUGCCGCGUGCAGGAUGACGGCUCUAUGAGUUGUAAACUGCUUUUGUAUGAGGGUAAUAUCAGGUACGUGUACCUGCUUGAAAGUAUCAUACGAAUAAGGAUCGGCUAACUCCGUG
rnacentral:rRNA from 1 species